rnacentral:rRNA from 1 species
GACGAACGCUGGCGGCGUGCCUAAUACAUGCAAGUCGAACGAACCGCGACUAGGUGCUUGCACUUGGUCAAGGUGAGUGGCGAACGGGUGAGUAACACGUGGGUAACCUACCUCAUAGUGGGGGAUAACAGUCGGAAACGACUGCUAAUACCGCAUAGGACAUAGGAUCACAUGAUCCAGUGAGGAAAGGUGGCGCAAGCUAUCGCUACGAGAUGGACCCGCGGUGCAUUAGCUAGUUGGUAGGGUAAAGGCCUACCAAGGCGAGGAUGCAUAGCCGACCUGAGAGGGUGAUCGGCCACAUUGGGACUGAGACACGGCCCAAACUCCUACGGGAGGCAGCAGUAGGGAAUCUUCCGCAAUGGACGCAAGUCUGACGGAGCAACGCCGCGUGAGUGAAGAAGGUCUUCGGAUCGUAAAGCUCUGUUGUUAGAGAAGAACAGCGCAUAGAGUAACUGUUAUGCGUGUGACGGUAGCUAACCAGAAAGCCACGGCUAACUACGUG